rnacentral:rRNA from 1 species
GCCAGAGCUAUAUGUCCUUGCAGUUCUCACCUGGUUUAGUACUGAAGCUAAGCAGGGUUGAGUCUGGCCGGUACGCAGACGGGAGACCUCCUGGGGAAAACUUAGGUUGCUUCUGGAA